rnacentral:lncRNA from 1 species
CUAACGUCCUCGAAUUCACCUUGGCUGAGCUCAUGAGGAGGCCACACUUCAUGGGAAAGCUACAAGAUGAAGUGAGGAGUAUCGUACCCGGGGACAAGAAAUUGUGAGCGAAACUGAAUUGAACAACAUGGUGUACCUGAGAGCAGUAAUAAAAGAGUCUCUCAGGCUGUAUCCUAUUGCACCUCUCCUUGCUCCGCACCUUGCAUGGCUGACUGUACCAUCGACGGAUACAUGGUUCCUGCAGGGACGCGUGUCGUCGUCAAUGCAUGGGCCAUUGGGAGGGAUUCCAGCUCCUGGGAGGAUGCUGAAGAGUUCAUACCUGAAAGAUUUACAGAUGAAGGCAAUGCUAGGAAUGCCAACUUUAAGGGGAACGAUUUUCAGUUCUUACCAUUCGGGGCAGGACGAAGGAUAUGCCCUGGUAUAAACCUCGGAAUCGCCAAUGUUGAGCUUAUGUUGGCAAACAUCAUGAACCAUUUUGAGUGGGAACUUCCGAUUGGGGUUGAGAGAAAAGAUAUCGAUAUGACAGAGGUGUUUGGGAUAAGCAUUCGUAGGAAGGAGAAACUAUUGUUGAUUCCAAAGUCACACAUGUAAAAUCGAGCUAAGCUAAAUACUUUGUGUUAUCAGUAUAACGGUUUUCUUGGGAAGAAGGUGAUACCAGGGAAAAUGGUGCCAAUAAAUAAUGGCCAAUUCUUCCUUGUAUAGCUACAAACAUUGUUGUUUAGAACGUUGAAAAUCGUCAAUGCACAUGUUUGACCACUACUUUUAUCAUUACAUAAAUAUGAAAUAAAAGAGAAAAAACGUAAUGUCGAAGUACUUUUAAAGUAAACUAGCAUGGUUGCCAGCACAAAUGCACGUGAACAUGCUAGUCGUCUAUUACUUUUGUGAUUCACAUUUCUUAUUGUUAUCUUAUACAAUAUAACAUCCAUUGGGACAAUAUGAACUGAAAACUCACAUGCUUAGUAGACCGUAAAACUCAUAUCUGUAAGUUCUGCCACAAGAACUAUAAAUCAUAUCAAUACCAGGGACAACGAAUCUCUAAACUUGUAAACAGCUCUGGAAAAAAAUUCAGCACAUAUAUCGUACACGCGUCUACCAUGACACAUAUUUUCAGAUUUAAAGUUGAUUCACGGCUCGGGAAACAACGAAACCUAGAAGGAGCCCGCCGCGGAUGUGGGUGCCGCCAUCACGGCUUUGACUUGGCCAACUGGCGGGUAUAAUCGGUUACAUGAAUUAGGGCAUUUCCAACCGAUCCCUUAUAACCGGUUAAAAAAGUAAAAAUGUGAUUUUACUCCUCUAACUGGCACCUAGCCGAUCCCCAACCUGCCAUAGGGGAGUAUAAUUUUUAUUCCGUCUCUAAAUUUCUCCAUAUAUUUACUCUGUCUUGAGGUGGCCCAGUAUAGUUUCUCUUCAGGCAAAGACCUCCUCGUGUCGGCUGGCGACUCGCAUGAAGCUCUCAUGGCCUCGCUGGCGACCCCUACCCAUACUACUACUGGUACGGUCGCUAAAUGCUCCUACUGCUGCCCGCCGCCGCCGGUGUAUGUUGUUGCUGCUGCUGCUCGUUGCCGUUGGUGUGUGCUCCUGCUGUUGCUACUCCUCCCUGAUGCAUGCUGCUCGCCGCUGCUCCUCCUUGUUGCGUGCUGCUACUACUGCUGCUUGUUGCUGCUCCACCGUCUGUGCGUGCUGCUACUGUGCGCUGCUGCUCCGCCGCCGGUGCGUGCUGCUGCUGCUUGCAGCCGCCGGUGCAUGCUGCUGCUCCUCCCAGUUGCGUGCCUCUGCUGCUGCUCGCCGCCAGCGUGGUAACCAUGGUUGCCACUUGCUGUGGAGGUGCAUAGCAAGUGUUUGACGAAAUGCAUGAGCCAAAUUUAAGUUUACUCCAUUAUAUAUAAGGGAUCGGCUCGGUCCGGCCGAAACUUAGUGGAGUAAAUGUACUCCACUAAGGUUUACUCCUCUAUUUUAAGGGAUUGGUAAGAAAUGUCCUUAAAUCAGUCAGAAAAUUGCUAAUUUAGCCAACAACCACCACUGCCUCUCUGUGUCUGCACGCAAGAUCUUGGACACCGUUGACAGUAUGAGGGCAUCAUCGGGCUAAGAUAUAGUGGAGGGGUGGGGGAGAAGGAAGGCUACAAUGAGCCCCGACGGCCGUAUGAGCAGAAGGAGGUACGCUCAUCAGGAUUUUUUUUGAAAGGAGGGAAGCCCCCGGCCUCUGCAUCAGUCGAUGCAUGCAGCCAGGUACGCUCGUUAGGAUGGCCAUCAGAAGUCGCCUCUCUAGACUCCUUUUGUUCUCUCUAUCUGUCCCAUUAUGCAAUGAUUGAAAACAAGAUCAUUUUUAACAAAAAAAAAAAUUAGAAACAUGACACAAAUCUUAGAGCAACAACCGAUGAUGUAUAUAUGGGUGGAUGGUGUACCCUGUUAUCCAUGUACGGUAGAAAAAUCACAGUCAUAGGAAAUGUAGCGCAUGAGUUAGCUACCUAGCUUGGAUAGAAUAUCUCCUCCUAAUACUUGGCUAUAUUCGGCCCGGUGGCUGUAAUUCCUAUGCUUGUAAAGGAUGCAACCAACCAUUCUGAUUAAAUGAACAAAGAAGGUUUGAAGUGUCAAAAAAAAAAGAAAAAACCGACGAUGAAUAUAUGUGUGGACGGUGUAUCUCUGUGUAUCCAUGUGCGGUAGAAAAAUCACUCCCGGACAAAAAUCGAGCCUAUCAAAACACACCGUGUUCCACUUGUCUUCCUCACAUGCAUGCACGGUCCUUCUACGGUGAGUGCCGUGGAUGGUCAAAACUUGGAGUGCCGUGGGGCCGCCUGAUUAAACGUGGACACUACUACAUCACGCGCCAGCGCCAAUAUUGCUCCAAGUUCAGUGCACCACAGAUAUUACGUGCUCACCGAAGCUGUCCUGCUUUUCCUGCGUGAGUGAAUUCCACGACUGGCUAGACGAGUGAGUGGCAGCGUACGUUAACAAACGUAUACUGAUUGAGUACGAAGCUAGAGCUUAUCCAUCUGGAAGACUAGACUUGCCUCGGAGUCUUGACACACCAGCACCAAUAUAUCGCUGCAGGUUCAUUGCACCAAAGAUAUUAGUACUAACUACUCCCUCCGUCCCAUAACGUAGGAUGUAUUACUUUGGUCAAUAAUAUAUAUUUUUGUGAUUUAAAAAUUAUACCAUUGAAAAGUUCAUCCGAAUAUUGAAUUCAAGACGUGGUUUUAGAUAGAGUAUGGUUAUUCUACACCCACGGACAUUGCACAUCCGACUAUGAGCAAACGUAUGCUGGUUGAGAACGAAGCUAGAGAUCAUCCAUCUGGAAGACUAGACAUGACUUGGGCACAGCAGUCACCAUCACCAAUAUCUCGCUGCAAGUUCAUUGCUCCAAACAUAUUCAUAAUAGUACUGCACAUGCUUUUGUCCUUUUUUACUUUGCCUGGCUGCUUAUAAGCAAACUGAGCUCGUCAUUUCUCCGGGGAGAGCUCCAGUCCAGAGUGAGUACUUACAGAGCCUGUCACUCCGGACGUCGGUUCGCCAUGGCGGAUCUCCUGCAGAAACUCUUGCCAGAGACCCUACCACCGGCAUGGUUGUUUCUCUUCCUCUUGUUCCUCGUCGUGUCUGUGCAGUACUGGUUCACCGGAAAGCUCGGCGCAAAAAGGAGGCAGCGCCUCCCGCCUUCGCCGCAGGCGCUGCCCAUCAUAGGGCACCUCCACCUCAUCGGUUCCCUCCCCCACGUCUCCCUCCGCAGCCUCGCAAGGAAGCACGGCCCCGACAUGAUGCUCCUCCGACUGGGCGCCGUGCCGACCCUCGUCGUGUCUUCGCCGCGCGCUGCAGAGGCGGUGCUGCGCACUCACGACCACGUCUUCGCUUCACGGCCCCACUCCGUCGUCUCCGACACCAUCAUGUAUGGCUCGGCUGACAUCGGCUUCGCGCCAUACGGUGAGUACUGGCGGCAAGCAAGGAAGCUCGUCACCACACACAUGCUGAGCGUUAAGAAGGUGCAGUCUUUCCGCGGCGUCGCUGUGGAGGAGGUACUGAUUUUUAAUUAUAUUUAAAUUUCUAGGUGCUGAUAGCCUUUCUUUUAAGAUCUUGCUCUCAUUUUUCUCGUACUGAAUUGGACUCUCACUUCCGUCAGAAACAAAAUAACGGAAAGGACUUUCAUGUGGUCCUCUGCUAACUAUUUCUCCCUCCGUCUGGGUUUAUUAGUUUCACUCAUAGUUUGUGUUUAACUUCUAAAAUAAAAUCAACUAAUAGUAAAAUAUAGACUUUAUGUAUAAAAAAUGAUACCACCUGAAACUACUUUUGAAUACGGAUCCAGCGGUAGUUGAAUCUAUAUAGGGUCCACCUUUGACCCAAAAUACCAGGGAAACUUAUAUAUUAACCUGGACCGAGAAAGUACUACAUAUGUAAAUGUUAGCUUCUCAUACUUUACGACCCAUGCUAUUAUAGGUCAGCAUGGCGAUGGCCAAGAUCAACCAGGCAGCAGCUGCUGAUGCUGUGGUGGACAUGAGCGAGCUGCUCCACACAUUCGCGAAUGACAUGGCGUGCCGCAUUGUGUCGGGGAAGUUCUUCCUGAAAGAUGGUCAAAGCAAGUUGUUUGGGGAACUCAUCAAGGAUACCUCACGGCUGCUAGGCGGGUUCAAUUUGGAGGAGUACUUUCCGGCAGUGGGUAGGGUAGGAGUGCUGAAGAAGGCGGUUUGUGCCAAGGCCGAAAGAGUGAGGAACAGAUGGGCCGAUCUGUUGGACAAGGUGAUCGACGAUCGUGUGAGCAAGCGCAAUUCAACGUCUGAUCACAAGGAUGAUGAUUUUGUGGAUAUUAUGUUGUCUGUCCAACAGGAGUAUGAUCUCACAAGAGAGCACAUGAAAGCUCUCCUGACCGUGAGUACAAAUAAUACCUUUCAAACUAAACAAGUUGAUUUGUACAUAUCUUUCAUUGUCCUAAUUACUUGAUAUACGCAGGAUGUAUUUUUUGGUUCAAUAGACACAUCAGCUAACACCCUCGAAUUCACCUUGGUUGAGCUCAUGAGGAAGCCACACCUGAUGGUGAAGCUACAAGACGAGGUGAGGGGUAUUGUACCCCAAGGACAAGAAAUUAUCAGUGAAACCAACAUGAACAACAUGACGUACCUAAGAGCAGUCAUAAAAGAGUCGCUCCGGCUACAUCCUCUUGCUCCUCUCCUUGCUCCGCACCUUGCCAUGGCUGACUGCAUCAUCGAUGGAUACAUAGU